rnacentral:rRNA from 1 species
CCUACGGGAGGCAGCAGUAGGGAAUUUUCGUCAAUGGGCGGAAGCCUGAACGAGCGAUGCCGCGUGAGUGAAGAAGGCCUUCGGGUCGUAAAGCUCUGUUGCGGGGGAAAAAAGGCAGCAUCAGGAAAUGGGUGCUGACUGAUGGUGCCCCGCCAGAAAGUCACGGCUAACUACGUGCCAGCAGCCGCGGUAAUACGUAGGUGGCGAGCGUGAUCCGGAAGGAUUGGGCGUAAAGGGUGCGCAGGCGGUCCUGCAAGUCUGGAGUGAAACGCAUGAGCUCAACUCAUGCAUGGCUUUGGAAACUGGAGGACUGGAGAGCAGGAGAGGGCGGUGGAACUCCAGGUGUAGCGGUAAAAUGCGUAGAUAUAUGGAGGAACACCAGUGGCGAAGGCGGCCGCCUGGCCUGUUGCUGACGCUGAGGCACGAAAGCGUGGGGAGCAAAUAGGAUUAGAUACCCGGGUAGUC